CAGCCGCCGCGGUAAUACAGAGGGUGCGAGCGUUAAUCGGAUUUACUGGGCGUAAAGCGUGCGUAGGCGGCUUUUUAAGUCGGAUGUGAAAUCCCUGAGCUUAACUUAGGAAUUGCAUUCGAUACUGGGAAGCUAGAGUAUGGGAGAGGAUUGUAGAAUUCCAGGUGUAGCGGUGAAAUGCGUAGAGAUCUGGAGGAAUACCGAUGGCGAAGGCAGCCAUCUGGCCUAAUACUGACGCUGAGGUACGAAAGCAUGGGGAGCAAACAGGAUUAGAGACCCGCGUAGUCCCUGUCUCUUAUAC
rnacentral:rRNA from 1 species